rnacentral:rRNA from 2 species
UGGGGAAUAUUGCACAAUGGGGGAAACCCUGAUGCAGCAAUGCCGCGUGAGUGAUGACGGCCUUCGGGUUGUAAAGCUCUGUCUUCAGGGACGAUAAUGACGGUACCUGAGGAGGAAGCCACGGCUAACUACGUGCCAGCAGCCGCGGUAAUACGUAGGUGGCAAGCGUUGUCCGGAUUUACUGGGCGUAAAGGGAGCGUAGGCGGAUUUUUAAGUGAGAUGUGAAAUACCCGGGCUUAACUUGGGUGCUGCAUUCCAAACUGGAAGUCUAGAGUGCAGGAGAGGAGAGUGGAAUUCCUAGUGUAGCGGUGAAAUGCGUAGAUAUUAGGAGGAACACCAGUUGCGAAGGCGGCUCUCUGGACUGUAACUGACACUGAGGCACGAAAGCGUGGGGAGCAAACAGG